rnacentral:piRNA from 1 species
UGCAAACAAAAAUACUGCUAAAAAUGAUGAAA